CAUCUCUAAAAUAGUUUAAAAGUUUAUGGAUUUAUGAUUAAUGACAUAUUUUGUGUUAAAUAAAAACAAUCUAUCAUGCUGCUAUAAAUAUAUUUCUAAUUGAUUCUGAAAACAAAUGACACAAAUCAUAGAUUGUACCUUGCAUACAUAAUGAAUUUUAACAUAAAAUAAACUAUAUCACAUAUUUAACAAAAAAUCUCAAAGUGCAUAAUGUUUACAAGAUACAUAAUAUGUAUACAAUAAAUGAACUUUUUGUCCCAAAAGAAUACAUUUACGGGGGAGAUCCAACCAUUUUUUAAAGGAGGGGUUCCAAUACAGGACAAAGGAGGGUUUUAAAACAUACGUCCCCAUUCAAAAACAUUAAUCAUAUAUAAAAGGAGAUGAUUUGGAAAAGUGAGGUAACAAUCUUUAAUGGACUUACUUAAUCAACCUACUUUAACUGUUUUUCAGUCGUCCAAUUUAUAUUAUUAUGAAGAGAGAUCAAUAUUUAUGAAAUAAAAUUUUCAUUUCUGUGGAUUUUGAACUUUGGAUUUUAGAAUGAUCUGACAAAGGCUAGUUCACUGGUCCAAAAUUUAUCAGGAAAUUGUAUGGAAAGCACCAAGAUUAUUAAAAUAUGGGUGGUUGCAUUUUUUUAAGAAUUUAUUUCAGAAUUAUAAGUAAAAUGAUUUUUUUACAAAUUAUGGGUGGUCCAGUCUUAGAAAUUAUGGGCGGUCCAGUCUUAGAAACUAUGGGUGGUCCAGUUUUAGAAAUUUGACCCCAACCGUCCAGAAUAGCUUUAAAUUCUUGAACAGACACAAUAUGGAUGAAAUACAAUGUAUACUUAAUCGAUCUUUUGCAGCAAUCUUUAAAUAGAUAAUUUUGUCAACAGUGAGUCAUUAUUUGAAAAUCCAUCUUUUAUUGUAUUUAUACCAUGAAUUAAAAAAAAAUCAAUAAAUUAUUUUUGAAUUCAGUAAAUGUAUAAUUUAAUGGAAACAUAAACUAAGAUACUCUAAAAUGGAAAAUGUCAUCAAAAUGAAAAAAUGCUCACUAUCCCUGGUACUCAGAAAUUAUUGUGAUGUUUUUAUUAUUGCGAAAAAUUGGGCAGGGUUAUAAUCACAAUAGUUUAAACUCGCAUUUUGAAUUUUAUAUAUGAUUCAAACAGGAUUUUCUCAAAAUCGUGAAAAUCGCAGUUUAGUUUAAGAUGGCAAAAUCACAAUAAUAAAUGCACACAAUUAUUUCUAAAUUUACAGUAGUUUUUUACAAAUUCACAGUUGGUGCAUUGGGAUUUUAAUCAACUUUUUAUUGUUUGGAUUUAGAUUGAUAAAAAUAUCAAGGGGGAGGUGUGCUAAAACAUUUCAUCCAUUCAAAAAUGAGUUUUGUGAAAAUCAUGACCCAUAUAAAUAUUUAAAUGCAAAAUUAUAUCCUAUUCAAAUAUUAGAUUUUAGUAGAGUAUUCUGAUAGGAAUAUCAAAAUGUAUAACCCUAUGAUAUGUUACCUUAGUGAACAUGACACCCAUUGUCAAAUACAUUGAUAUACAUGAUAUACAGGCACAACUAUAUGAAUAAAGGUCACUCUCAUGAACUGAGAAAUCUGACCUUACAAGAGUGGUGACCUUCAUAUUGAGGUUCAAACUGCAUACUUAUUGCUAUAUUCAAACACUAUGAUUUUUCACCUUUUGCAAAACUUUGUUUGGACACAUAUAAAAAUUGGAACAAAAAUUGUAAUAAAUACAAAUUAUGAAGCAUAACCCGAAAGUUUGUAAAAAGUUCAGCAGAAACCUGUGUCAAGAGUAACUCUCAAAUUAUCCUGAUUUCAAUUCAGUUGCAAACAUUUUAAAUGAAAAAAACAUAAACUGAGCUUAAGGUGGUACCAAAUACCUCGACUACAAAUAAUUUGGCUCAUUUGAUUUUCAUUAAAUUUUGGAA
rnacentral:lncRNA from 1 species